ensembl:lncRNA
GGGAGGAGAGGGGUAGAAUAGAAAGGGAGGAGAGGAGUAGAAUAGAAAGGGAGGAGAGGAGUAGAAUAGAAAGGGAGGAGAGGAAUAGAAUAGAAAGAGAGGAGUAGAAUAGAAAGAGAGGAGAGGAGAGGAAUAGAAUAGAAAGAGAGGAGUAGAAUAGAAAGAGAGGAGAGGAGUAGAAUAGAAAGAGAGGAGAGGAGUAGAAUAGAAAGAGAGGAGAGGAGAGGAGUAGAAUAGAAAGAGAGGAGAGGAAUAGAAUAGAGAGGAGAGGAGAGGAGUAGAAUAGAAAGAGAGGAGAGGAGAGGAGUAGAAUAGAAAGAGAGGAGAGGAGUAGAAUAGAAAGAGAGGAGAGGAAGAGAGAGGAAGGAGAGGAGAGGAAUAGAAAGAGAGGAGAGGAGUAGAAUAGAAAGAGAGGAGAGGAGAGGAGUAGAAUAGAAAGAGAGGAGAGGAGAGGAAUAGAAAGGGAGGAGAGGAGAGGAAUAGAAAGGGAGGAGAGGAGAGGAAUAGAAAGGGAGGAGAGGAAUAGAAAGAGAGGAGAGGAAUAGAAAGAGAGGAGGGGAGUGGAAUAGAAAGAGAGGAGAGGAAUAGAAAGGGGUCAAUGUUAUAACUGGAGAACUGGGGC